rnacentral:rRNA from 1 species
AUUGAACGCUGGCGGCAUGCCUUACACAUGCAAGUCGAACGGUAACGCGGGGCAACCUGGCGACGAGUGGCGAACGGGUGAGUAAUGUAUCGGAACGUGCCCAGUUGUGGGGGAUAACUGCUCGAAAGAGCAGCUAAUACCGCAUACGACCUGAGGGUGAAAGCGGGGGAUCGCAAGACCUCCCGCAAUUGGACCGGCCGAUCUCAGAUUAGGUAGUUGGUGGGGUAAAGGCUCACCAAGCCAACGAUCUGUAGCUGGUCUGAGAGGACGACCAGCCACACUGGGACUGAGACACGGCCCAGACUCCUACGGGAGGCAGCAGUGGGGAAUUUUGGACAAUGGACGCAAGUCUGAUCCAGCCAUGCCGCGUGCGGGAAGAAGGCCUUCGGGUUGUAAACCGCUUUUGUCAGGGAAGAAACGCUCUGGGUUAAUACCUCGGGGGUAAUGACGGUACCUGAAGAAUAAGCACCGGCUAACUACGUGCCAGCAGCCGCCGUAAGAC